UCUGAAUGGGACACCUUAGCAAUCACCCAUAAACUUUGUUGUGAUGUUCCUACAAAUUUGUUCCAUACGUGUUGUUUUGUUCUUCAAGUGCCUGGUGGAUGAUAAGGUCAGUGGCUACCCCUUCUAAUUCUUCUCCUUGUCCUCAGGGCUUCCCAGUGCACUCUGGGCAGCCACUGACUAAUUAAAUCAUCCCACAAAGGUAUCCUGCAUGACACACAAUGCUGACCCUAAAUGCGAACUCCUGGGUAGGCAUUCAAGAGAGGGACCAGGUCUGACAUUUCUCAGCAUCAGGACUCGGCACCUAUUCUAAAGCUUUUUUUCCCAAAGGUGUGCUGUACUAAUUCAGAGGCUUUGCUCAUAUGUUUCUAAGCAAACAUGGAAGGAACCUGGUCAGCUUGCAAAUGGACAAGGCCCUCCCCAGUCCUGAUGUGGUGAUGCAGCCUGGCUACACCCUCCAGGCUCAUCAGGAAUGACAGCUUUGCCCUGUGGGAGUUCUGCGGGUGCUUAAGGACCAGGACACAAAGCUGCAAGUGCCCAGCGACAGUCAUCUUCGCCUAUGCAUGUGGCGUGAUGAGGAAUCAGAGGACGUUUUAUAAGACGGGAAGAAGGCAAUUUGGCUUCAUGUGACACCUUUCAUGCUCAAAGAAUCCCAACAGCGAAAUACUCAUGAAGAAUAAAAUGCUUACACUUUGUAAGUGAGAGAGUGGAGUUGCGGCAAUGAGGCUGGAAAUGGAAAAGAGCUCAAACCAAGCACGAGUUGGAACCAAACUUUAGCUAGGUCUCCAGGCAAUUGAGAUCCCAGCAUGCGGCGGCAAUUGAGACGAGGAGGAUCUUUUCAGAUGUCUUAAGUGGCCGAAGUGAAGCCCCUCCAGAGCUGCUGUGGUUGACGAUCACCCUGCCGCCAGCUGCUUCCUUCAGGUGAGAGGUUACUGGAAAAGUCAACAACAGCAGUGGAGGAGGAAGGUAGGUGUGUGGAGGUGGAGAGGGGAGUCUGCGGCUUCAAAGUGUGCAGCGUGGUGGGCCUCCUGGAGAAGGUGAUGUGGGCCAAGACAAGGAGUUUAUCUUCUAUUUCAAAAUGAGGAAGACAGGGCACAUCUGACGAUAAGACUCUCGGAUCUCCUGCUGAUGGGUUUUAGUGAUACUUGGAAAGACGCUUACUGCUAUGCUCAAGUCUCCAGGAAAAUGAUUCCCAAUUCUGAGAGGAUGCGUGUACACAUGAGAAACGAGGUUGAGGUUGACUUUCAUGACAGUGCAAAAGGGUUAUCAAUACUAAUAAAAUGUGUGAACAGGAGGAAGUCCAAACUGAGAUACCACUUUUGGUGACACAGUGUCUUAGGGAAAAUGCGUAUGGCCAGGAAAUAACAAACUGAUGCUAUGAUCCCAUUGCCUUUCUGUAUCUAAAUAUUUACAAAACAAGGCUCAAGAGAUCACUUUCUCUGAGCCAUGUGAAGACACAGCAAGAAGGUGGCAAGCCAGGAUGCACUCACCAGGAACCAAAUGUGUUGGCACCUUGAUGUUAGAUUUCCA
rnacentral:lncRNA from 1 species